rnacentral:rRNA from 1 species
CCUACGGGUGGCAGCAGUGGGGGAUAUUGCACAAUGGGGGCAAGCCUGAUGCAGCAACGCCGCGUGAGGGAAGAAGGCUUUCGGGUUGUAAAGUCCUAUUGGCAGGGAAGAAUAAAAGACGGUACCUGAGGAAUAAGCCCCGGCUAAAUACGUGCCAGCAGCCGCGGUAAUACGUAGGGUGCAAGCGUUGUCCGGAUUUACUGGGUGUAAAGGGCGCGUAGGCGGGUGGGCAAGUCUGAUGUGAAAUCCUGCGGCUUAACCGCCGAACUGCAUUGGAAACUGCAGGUCUUGAGUACUGGAGAGGCAGGCGGAAGUCCUAGUGUAGCGGUGAAAUGCGUAGAUAUUAGGAGGAACACCAGUGGCGAAGGCGGCCUGCUGGACGGUGACUGACGCUGAGGCUCGAAAGCGUGGGGAGCAAACAGGAUUAGAUACCCUAGUAGUC